rnacentral:rRNA from 1 species
AGCGAACGCUGGCGGCAGGCUUAACACAUGCAAGUCGAGCGGGCAUCCUUGUGGUGUCAGCGGCAGACGGGUGAGUAACGCGUGGGAACGUGCCCUUCGGUUCGGAAUAACUCAGGGAAACUUGAGCUAAUACCGGAUACGUGCGAGAGCAGAAAGGUUUAUCUGCCGAAGGAUCGGCCCGCGUCUGAUUAGCUAGUUGGUGAGGUUAUGGCUCACCAAGGCGACGAUCAGUAGCUGGUCUGAGAGGAUGAUCAGCCACACUGGGACUGAGACACGGCCCAGACUCCUACGGGAGGCAGCAGUGGGAAUAUUGGACAAUGGGGGCAACCCUGAUCCAGCCAUGCCGCGUGAGUGAUGACGGCCUUAGGGUUGUAAAGCUCUUUUCUCCGGGACGAUAAUGACGGUACCGGAGGAAUAAGCCCCGGCUAACUUCGUG